UGUGUCCUACGGAGGCAGCAGUGGGGAAUAUUGCACAAUGGGGGGAACCCUGAUCCAGCGACGCCGCGUGAGUGAAGAAGUAUUUCGGUAUGUAAAGCUCUAUCAGCAGGGAAGAAAGAAAUGACGGUACCUGACUAAGAAGCCCCGGCUAACUACGUGCCAGCAGCCGCGGUAAUACGUAGGGGGCAAGCGUUAUCCGGAUUUACUGGGUGUAAAGGGAGCGUAGACGGCGAUGCAAGUCUGAAGUGAAAGGCGGGGGCCCAACCCCGGGACUGCUCUUGGAACUGCAUGGCUGGAGUACAGGG
rnacentral:rRNA from 1 species